rnacentral:rRNA from 1 species
AGCGAACGCUGGCGGCAGGCCUAAUACAUGCAAGUCGAACGGCUCUUCGGAGCAGUGGCGGACGGGUGAGUAACGCGGGGGAACGUGCCCUUAGGUACGGAACAACACAGGGAAACUUGUGCUAAUACCGUAUGUGCCCUUCGGGGGAAAGAUUUAUCGCGUUUGGAGCAGCCCGGAUUGGAUUAGGUAGUUGGUGAGGUAAAGGCUCACCAAGCCGACGAUCCAUAGCUGGUCUGAGAGGAUGACCAGCCACACUGGGACUGAGACACGGCCCAGACUCCUACGGGAGGCAGCAGUAGGGAAUCUUGCGCAAUGGGCGAAAGCCUGACGCAGCCAUGCCGCGUGUAUGAUGAAGGUCUUAGGAUUGUAAAAUACUUUCACCGGGGAAGAUAAUGACGGUACCCGGAGAAGAAGCCCCGGCUAACUUCGUGCCAGCCGCCGCGGUAAGAC